CAUUGGAAGUGAAGAGGCCAGUGUGAUGGUGUGAGGAUGACCCUCCACAUAUGGAAAUAACUCAGCACCAAGAGGAGCAGCUGCCUCAUCAUCAUCCCCAGCACUGGGAUUUCUUUGGUUGUAAUGCUAUUUGUGCUCUAUCUACACAUCUAUUGGUACAUAAGUGAAAAAAGUAGGAGAGUUUUCGUCAUUGGAAAAUUUCAAGGUCAGGCUGGAUGACUAUCAGAGCUGCAAGCAAAGAAUGGAAAUUUCCAAUUGCAGCAUCAAGGGCUGCUCUUCUGCUGACUGUCUUGCUCAGCCAGGGUCAUCUGCUUCUCUAAGACAUCAAGGAAUGCCAAGGCCAUGUUUCCAGGAAAAGAACAGUUAAGGAGGAUUUCUGACAUCACUGCUCCUAUUUAUACUUAACAUUAUUUAUUGAGGCAAGUUUGGUAAUAAUGAAGAUAUUCCGGCAAUAAAUAAAAAAAAAUCAUUACAUGGCUAGUGAGUUUUAAACAGAAUAUUUAUUCCCUAUCUGUCUUUUCAAUCACUUCUAUAUCCAUAGAUAGCAAUGUUGUCUUUGAAUACAGUGACCAAUUUUAAUGCCACCUGAUAACAAAGUGGAGGGGAGUGGGAAUGGUCAGCAAGAAUAUCUAGGUCUAUUUAGGCUUUAGUCUCAAAGGCUGAUGUUCAGUUUAGUCAUUGGUUACUUCUGUGAUAACAAUUUUCCUUAUCUCCUUAACCCAUUAAAACUGAGUCUGAUUUCCUGGUGAAAUUCAUUAAGAUGGCAUUUUAAUAUGGGUCUGGGUCUCAUAUGACAUGUACCAAACUUGUGACAGGCUUCUUUCUACACCUCCGCUGCAUCUGUCAUUAGCUAGAGGAUAUUGGUCCUCUUAGUUGAAGACAAUGAUGAUUCAUCUCUGUGGGUGGGGCUGAAUAGGCUGAUAUAUAAUGAAUAUGCCGUUCCACUUUAGACUGCAGAGGUGAUUUUUUAAAAAAUUUAUAGCUGGAAUACAUGCUGAUUUAGAUGCUGAUUGAUUGAUUUCAAUCACGGCCCCAAUUUUCUCCCUCCUGUUUCCUUGCCCCUUUCAAUGUGACUUUGCAUCCCUCCCAUCAAGAGGUAGACUCUAUUUCCCCACUUAGGCCACUGAAUCUAGGCUGGCCUUUUGACUUGCAUUGGCCACUAGAAUGCAACAGAAGUAACAGUGUGCCAGUUCCAUGUCUAAGCCUAAGUGUGUGCUUCCACUUUCUUUCUUGGAACUUGCCAUUGCUACGUGAACAAGUCUAGGCAAGCCUGCUGGAGGAUGAGAGAUGGUGUGGAGUAGAGAGGAGCCAUCCUAGCUGAGGCCGUCCCGGACCAGCCAGCCCACAGCUAACAUACCAGCUGACCACAAAUGCAUGAGCAAGCCCACCAGGAUCAACUGGGCCCAGGCCAGAUCAGCAGAACCACUCAGCCAACUCACAGUCUCAUGAGAAGUAGUAAAGCCACUAAGUUUCAAGGCGUUUGUUAUGAAGCAAUAGGUAACU